rnacentral:rRNA from 1 species
ACGUAGGGUGCGAGCGUUAAUCGGAAUUACUGGGCGUAAAGCGUGCGCAGGCGGUUUGCUAAGACAGGUGUGAAAUCCCCGGGCUUAACCUGGGAAUGGCGUUUCUAACUGGCAAGCUGGAGUACGAUAGAGGGUGGUAGAAUUCCAGGUGUAGCGGUGAAAUGCGUAGAGAUCUGAAGGAAUACCGAUGGCGAAGGCAGCCACCUGGGUCAAUACUGACGCUCAUGCACGAAAGCGUGGGGAGCAAACGG